rnacentral:rRNA from 1 species
UGCCAGCCGCCGCGGUAAUACGGAGGGUGCAAGCGUUAUCCGGAUUUAUUAGGUUUAAAGGGUCCGUAGGCGGAAAUUCAAGUCGGAUGUGAAAGCCCUGAGCUUAACUCAGGAACUGCAUUCGAUACUGGAUCGCUAGAGUAUAUUAGAGGAUAGUGGAAUUUCAAGUGUAGCGGUGAAAUGCGUAGAUAUUUGAAGGAACACCAAUGGCGAAGGCAGCUAUCUGGAAUAAUACUGACGCUGAGGUACGAAAGCGUGGGGAGCAAACAGGAUUAGAUA